UACGGAGGGGGCUAGCGUUGUUCGGAAUUACUGGGCGUAAAGCGCACGCAGGCGGACGCGCGCGUGGGGUGUGAAAUCUGGCCGCUUAACGGCCAGGCGCCAUCCCAUACGGCGCGACUGGAGUGAUGCAGAGGUCGAUGGAAUUGCCGGUGUAGUGGUGAAAUGCGUAGAGAUCGGCAGGAACACCCAGGGGGAAACCAGUCGACUGGGCAUCUACUGACGCUGAGGUGCGAGAGCGUGGGGAGCGAACCGG
rnacentral:rRNA from 1 species